GACGAACGCUGGCGGCGUGCCUAAUACAUGCAAGUCGAACGCUUCUUUCCUCCCGAGUGCUUGCACUCAAUUGGAAAGAGGAGUGGCGGACGGGUGAGUAACACGUGGGUAACCUACCCAUCAGAGGGGGAUAACACUUGGAAACAGGUGCUAAUACCGCAUAACAGUUUAUGCCGCAUGGCAUAAGAGUGAAAGGCGCUUUCGGGUGUCGUUGAUGGAUGGACCCGCGGUGCAUUAGCUAGUUGGUGAGGUAACGGCUCACCAAGGCCACGAUGCAUAGCCGACCUGAGACGGUGAUCGGCCACACUGGGACUGAGACACGGCCCAGACUCCUACGGGAGGCAGCAGUAGGGAAUCUUCGGCAAAGGACGAAAGUCUGACCGAGCAACGCCGCGUGAGUGAAGAAGGUUUUCGGAUCGUAAAACUCCGUUGUUAGAGAAGAACAAGGACGUUAGUAACUGAACGUCCCCUGACGGUAUCUAACCAGAAAGCCACGGCUAACUACGUG
rnacentral:rRNA from 1 species